GGAGGAAGCUCAGCAGGUAUGCAGUGUGCCCAGAGGAAAAGCAGAAGUCUUUGUAGCCAGCUCUCCACUGUGUGCAAGGAGAGCGGGAAAGCAGUUGUCACAGCCAGGGGGACGCCUGCCAGCCCCGACUUCUCAGUUCCCUCACCCUGCCCACUACCAAGUUUGGUUUGGGCUUCUUCUAGCCCUACAGCAACCAAAGAGCUGUAGCGAAUACUAGUGCUGUGUCAGUGAUACGUGGGCCUACAGGAAAAAUAGAUGCCAGAGCCCUGCCUCGCUGCUCCACAGGGCCACUUCACAGGCAGCAUCCACAUGCGCAUCAGCCAAGCUCCGGCUUAGGGGCAUAUCAGCGUGGAUUUCCAAGGGAGAGAGCACAGGGCAUUCUUGAAGCAGCACUGAGCCUUUAUUCCCGGGCAAAGAACUGAAUCUAUAGCUACAUGAAAAGAAUGUAGAGGAGAUGCACCUCCCUGUCCUGGCCUGUUUCUUCACAGUCUUCAGUCAAGACAAGAAAUAAGCACACUGAAUGCCAAGGCAGAGGUGAGGCUCCAGCCGAGCCCCAUGAAACCAGGUCACUUUAUGUCACAAUGAUAUAGGAGAAACACAACUCCCAACCUGCCAGACGUCAGAUAUGCUGAGUUUGUGUCUCCUGGAACAGAAGAAUGAAUUCCAAAGGACACAGGAGGUUGAGUAAGAAAGGUUUACCAGGAAAAUAGGAGUAGCUCCUGAGAGACAGGAGGGCUUCCAAGUCAGUGGCUGCUGAGGCCUUAGUCAAGGAUAUUCACACAGCAAAGCCAUAAUACAGUACAAAGUGAGCCCCGAGCUGAAAUCAACCAAUCAGAUUAUACCUAUAGCCACUUAGCUCACACUAAUUCAACAGGGAAGCCGGACCAAUAACAAGGACACAAGGCUGGCACCAUUAACCUUGGCUUAUCCAAGACUUCUGAAACAGGAACAUUUCUGGAAGGGACAGGCCCAGGUGUUCUGGUCACCCACUCAGGUAUCUGAUACAUACUGGACUUAAUGGACCAGGUACUGAUUAGAAUUCUGCUUAUCCCUUGGGGUAGUGUAAAAGCUGGGCCAUUGUGACAUUAUCUGGAGGGCCUGGCCUUCUUUAGAUAUGCCUCCAGCCAUGAUUCUGGUAUCUGUAUUUUUACUGACUUCCUUGAGAGCCCCAUUCCUCUCUGUUAUUAAUUUCUCUCUAGCUUAGCUCUCCAUAAUAAUAUGAAAAAAUCACAGAAAGCAGUUUUCAAAAGCCGGAUGUUCCUUUGCAGAACCACUUUGUCCAGCAGUGGAAACAUGUAAGAAAGAAACACACAACAUAUAGGAAUAGGGGAGCAAAAUUUUUAAUUACUCAAAGAAAAUAGCUUUUAAAAAGAAAAGAGCAGCUAGGCAUAUUGCCAUAGGCCCAUAAUUGCAGCAUUUUGGGAGGCUAAGGCCGGAGGAUUUAAAAUUUAAGUCCUUUCUGGGCAAGUUAGUAAGACUGUACUCAAAAAAUAUAAAAAUAUCUGGGGAUGUAGCUCAAUGCAAAGGGCCUGGUUUCAAUCCCCAGCACUGGGGGUGUGGUGGGGGAACAUACUGUAUUUAUCAAAGGACAAUAUACAGCAAUUUACUCUAGCAGCUUUAAUUGCUUUUCUUUUCAAUUCUAGAAUCAGGCAACAUUUCAUUCCGUAAGUAGAGUACAUAUUCUGACUUCUGAGAAGAGAAGAUUGUUUUUAUAGAGAAAGGCUUGAAAAGUGCAGAAACAAAAAUGAAGAGAGACGGAUCAUUUCAAGAUCCUUUAGGAGGACAGGGAGACAGAGCAAUAGGGGUGUAGCUGACUGGUGAAUGUGGGUAAGUCCACAUCUUCCUUCCUCUGCCGCUGUUAGGGCAAGAGGGAACUUCCUUGUCAGGUCCGCUGGAACUGGCCUGUUGGGGAAGUUGGCUGUUUCCUACUAAGCCUGGCUUUGUCUCUUUUUACAUGGAUAGCUUAGUACCACUGUGUAAGGGAAAGAUGGGAAAAAAAUCAGAGUCGGUCACUAGGGAGAUUUAAGCUUCUAUCCAGAUGAAAUCACUUCUUCCAAUAUAAAUGGCCUUUUAGGCUUUUUUUAAAGCGUCAAAGUAAAAAUAAAGUCACCAUGUGAAUCUGAUUUGGUCUACCAUUUCCCUGAAAGCCAGUAAGGAAGAGGUGACACCAACGGUGGCUUCCUGGUGCUUCUGUCCUUAGCCUCCCCAGGAAUCUUGCAGUUUGAAGCCAAGCACAGUUUCCCUUCUGUUCUGUUCUUCACACCUAACCCCACCGAGAGGCUCUAGACGGCAGAGAGACUCCUGCUCCUGAGGGAUAUGCUGAAGCGCUCUCGGCAAGGGCAUGCUGUCUGGGACUGCUUUUAACAGACUCACACAUACCCAUGCUUGCCACACUCAUGCACACAUCCAUUGUCACACCCACACCCACUCACAUACACACACAUGCAGUGUGACAAAAAGACUAAGCAGGUGUGUCUGAACGUAAACCAGUGGUGGCUCUGGAUAAGAUACAGGCAAGAUUCUCUGUACUGUUCUACUUUUUGUAUGGUUGAAACUUUUCAAAAUUAAAUUUACAGGCAAAAGAACAAAAAAUGAAUGUCGCAGUUCCAGGACAAUGUCACUUGGUGGAAGCUGGGCUUCAAAUCCGUUCUGUGUCUUUCUGUGUCACCUACCUCCCAAAGAUUUCCAGAAUGCAACUUCUGAGCAACCAAAAUGCUGCUCAUGAGAGGGGCUCCAAGUUCUCUACAGUCCUUUUGCAUUCCAGGGCAGGCAGGACCUCAGCUGGGUGCCCUCCCAGGCAGACUAGAAGGGCCUCCCACCCCAUCCCCCAUCCUGGGGCUGGGAGAGCAGAGUGAGCAGCCCCACCUAGUGUCAGGACAGGAGCUGCGUGCACCACACCCGUAGGCGUGGCACCCAUCCACCUCCCGUUCCCAGCCUCUUGCCCUGAGACCUGAGUUUCCACAGAGCCAUACGGCACAGGGGGAGCAUGGGCUUUGGAGAGGAACCGCACACUGUAGGUGCUCAGUAAAUACUUGUUGACUGCAUGGACUGCGUGGAUAAAAACAGACCAGCCACCUUCCAGUAUCAGUAGGAUUUUGUGGUUAAUAUUGUUGAGAGGAGGUUCUCUUGUCUGUGUUUUAUUUAGUUUGGUUUGGUUUGGUAGCUUGCCAGGCAAGUACUUCACAUCUGAGUAACGCCCCUACACCUUUUUAAAAUUUUACCUGAGACAGGAUCUCACUAAUUUGCCAAAGCUGGCCUCAAAUUUAUAACCUUCCUGCCUCAGCUUCCUGAGCAGCUGGGACUACAGGUAUGUGCCACCGCACUCAGCUUGCUAUUAUGGUUUCAAGCAAGCUGUUUAAUAUCUCUGAGCCUCUGUCCCCUUAUGUGGAAACUGGGGACAAUAUCAGCCUGGUGAGGGCUGCAUAGUCUGAGAGGGAAAAAGAAAGUGCAUGUUCCCUGGGGUGUGGUACACCAGGGCUAGCAGCAGCCAGUCCUCAGUGAGGAACCUAAAUGGAUGGGUGCCUUCUUGGGACAGGAGACCUGGAGUCACAGGCCUUCUUCCAUGACCUGCUGUCACUGUCUUUGUUACUUUUCUCGUUGCUGAGACAAAAACACUUGGGGCUGGGGAUUUAGCUCAGUGGCAUAAAUGCCUGCCUGGGAAGUGUGAAGUCAUGAGUUUGAUCCCCAAUACAAAAAAAAAAAAAAAAAAAAGAAAGAAAGAAAGAAAGAAAAAAUUUGACACUCAAAGUUAAAGGAGGAAAGGUUUAUUUAGCUCGCAGUUGGUAGAAGUUUUGGUCCACCAUCAGCUUGCUCCAAGGCUGGGUGGCCUGGCAGACAGGCAGACAGAAACAGUCCAUGGCAGGCAGAGGGCAGUCAAACAGCAAGCAGUGAGGUGGCAAAGCAGCAAAUGACCAUCAAGGGCAGUAGCCUUGCGCUGUCCCUUACGUUCCAUCCAGGCUACCUGCCCUGCACAGGGUGGGCCACACAGGGUGGGCCUCCUGCGAGAUCCACACCCAGAGCCAUGCCAAACAGUCAGCAGGCUGACUUAGAAUCACACACUCUGCAUCCCAGCAUCACACACUCUGGCUCCAGCCAGCUCUACUCUGAGAGAUCCCACCUAUGACUGAAAGGGAAAUUAACAUUUUAAAUAAAAGCCUGCCAAGAAAGCCUGGCAAAACCAAAUGAGCAUCUCUGGAUCUCCCUGAUAAUAAAACCUUCUUUCCUUUGUGCAAACUUGUCCAACUGAUGACCUUGCAAUGUAACUUAAAAUGUAACAGGACAUUGACCCAUGCUUUGUAUAGCCAAUGGCCUUACAACGUAACCUUUUUUUUUUUUUUUUUUUUACCGGGGAUCAAACUCAAGACCUCGCACUUGCCAGGCAGGUGCUUAUACCACUGAGCUAAAUCUCUGGCCUUUACAAUGUAAUCUUAAUUGUUCAAACUCCCUUAGCAACCCAAGAUGUUACCCAACCCUCCAAUCAUAGCAUAUUAAAUCUGCCUUUGAAUCUCCCCCUUAUUUUCCCCAUAAAACCCCCAAAUCCUGCUGGGCAGGACUCUGGCUCUUUGGGAAAGAUCCCUAGUAAGAGGCCAACUGGUAUAAUAAACUGCCUCUUAAACCUCCUUGGGAACAUAUUUUCCCAUGUGUGGUCUGUUUUCCACAACCUCAUGUAGAUUUGAGGGGAUAUCUAGACACAAGCCAUAAUGCCACUAAAAGGAGACAUCAGCAUUUCUCUGUUCAGUCUGUACCCUCUCCUUAUCCCCUGCUGUUACAGCAGGGAUCAUGAUGGGGAGUGGAGGGAGACAUUUCCAAGGGAGAGCAUAGUAUUAAUCCAUAGCUUACCAGAAGAGAGUACCUCAAAACUUGACAGAGAACACUAAAAUUCCAUACUCAUGACCGGCGGCAAAGUCCCAGCCUAUGCACAUCCCAUCAGAGAAGCCAUAAAGCUGGUCCUUCUUUUGUUACCAGCUCAGUCUGCUCAUCAGAGCUGCCCCUCCUUCAUUCGGCUCCUCAAGCUAAAGGCCCUUUUUCUAUUUUCUCUUGCUUUCUAACUGCCUAAAAAUCUGCCCAUGCCUCCCAGUGACAUGUCCUGAAAUACUCUCUGUCUGAUGAAAGUCAGUGAACCUACUCCAUGGCAAGGGGUGGGAACCCUCUCAGACUCCACCCAGGGAUAUAGCUGUUUCAUGAUUUCCAUUCACAUGCAGCAAAAGAACCCCUGGCUGAUUGGUAACAGACAGAGCCAGACAGGCAGUAAAGGGAGAACAGAAGAGAAAACGCAAAUCAGCGCUUUCUUUUCAAAGACUCAGGAUGAGGGGACAAGAUGGCCUGGGGGAGGCAUGUCUGUCCCACACAGCAGACCCGUAAGGUGCCACUGAGGAAGAGCAGAGCCUUGUCAUGAGGGGAACUAGAGCCUGCACCAUGGCCUGCCCAGACUAAGUACAGGUUCCAAGAGUAGCACCCCAGAGAUGGUACACAGGAAAUCUGAGGCCCAGAGACCAGAAAGAGAAGUGAACAGCUGUAGUUAGGGGCUCCAAGGAGUGAGGAAUGGAGACCAAGGUCUGAGACCCAAUUCUUACCCAGUGGCUGGUGGGGUUGGGGCGAAGCUCAUAGCCGUGAGUUCUCCAGCUUCGCCUCACUUGCUUGCAAAAACACAGGAAAGACAGCUGCCCAAAUUGUGAACACCACACCCGCCAUAUCAUUCCACAUCCCAGUUAACAAAACCAAGAUAGAAAAAUGACCCAGUGGGAAGAACAGCAGCUUCAAACCUGCAAAGAUAAAAUGUGGCAGAAACAAAGAGAAAUCCUGUGAUUCCAGUUGCUAAAUGCAGGAGAGGUGGCACUGGUGAAAGGCAGCUCCCGUGGCAGGGGGACAGGUUCAUGUCCUCAUAUUCUGGGCCUUCUCACUUAGGUAUCAGUCUCUGAAUCUUGGAGGCUUAAUAUCUCUUUCUUAAAAGCUUUGGGAUGAGGAGGCCAUGACAGAUAUGGGUUCAGGUACACACAAUGUUCAUAGCACUGUGUUAUAUGCUUGUCGUUUGCUUGACUUGAGAUUGACAAAUCUCAAGUGUUCUCACCCCAAAUGAAAGGUAACACAAGAGGGAAUGGAUGUGAUAAUGAACUUAAUUGGAGUUCUCAUCUUGUAACAUUUACUUGCAUAUAGUAAUCAUCUUGUAUACUUUGAGUAUAUUCAACUCUAAAAAUUAUACUUCAAUAAAACUGAUGGAAAGACUGACACUCCUACACAAUCUACCCAUUCUACCCUAAAUUAUUCCUAAUUUGUUAACCCAAAGCAAUGCAAUCAGACAGUGAAGAAGUAGGUUCGGGAUGUGUUACAGUGUCAGGGAGCCUAACAAGAUAUUCCCAACCUCCUCUGAGUCAUUCUACAGAAAAAGAAGAACCAAAAUACAUUUAGAAAACUCUGAACACCCUUCUCAAAAUGGAUCAGAAGCCAAAUUAAUAACUUGAGCGCUGGCAUUUCUUGAUGUCCUUAGGGUAAAGAAAAAAGAAUGUAUUUAUAAAUCACCUAUUCUCUACCACAUUCUUACAGUAUCCACUUAAACCUCCCAACAACUCCAGUAACACCAGUAAGAGUUAUUAUCAUCUCUGCUCUGCAGAUGAGGAGCCAGAGGUCCACGGAGGGUGCUGGUUGGCCAGUAGAGGAGAGAGCCAGAGUACGGGCACAGGGACUUCUGGGAAGGUUUUCCUCCAGCGCUUUCCUCAGCAGGAGGCUGUAAGGAGCCAGCAAGAGAGUGGGCUUUAGAGCAUCUGAAUCAGGGAGUGGGAUUUAGAGCAUCUGAAUCAGGGAGUGGGCUUUAGAGCAUUUGAAUCAGGGAGUGGGCUUUAGAGCAUCUGAAUCAGGGCUAGGCUAACUUAAGGUAUUUGUAAAACCUAAAGACUUUAGAAAACAAUGAAUGUUUUCUAAUGUUUACAUUGAUUACAUGUUGAAAUUAUAUCUGUGUAUGUACUGCAUUAAAUAAAACAUACCAUUAAAUUAAUUGGUCUGUUUCUUUGUCCUUUUUAAAUGUAAUUGCUAAAG